rnacentral:lncRNA from 1 species
GUGAAAGUCGAAUCCAGAUUUGAGUCCAACAAACACGCGUCCUUCAAAACACGUUGCCUAGCAACAAAUUGAUUCUAGUUACUUCCGGCAUCCCAAGUGGAGAAAAAUAACCAAUUCCUUCCUAGAAGCCAAGCUUGAGGGACCUUUAGAAUUCUGUAACAGAAAAGCUCCCCACCCCCUACUGUGACCCAAGCAGUUACUUAAACACUAAUACCUCCCAUUGGCCGGCGUGGCAGAGCAGCAGCUCUGGCGCUAGAGGGAACCUGGGCUGCUCUAGCUGGGGGAGAGCCGGGUCUCUGGUUCUAAUCACUUGAAUCUGACUUCUGGGAAAACUGGCGUCCAGGGACUCCCCCCGGAGACCCAUAAUCUUCUUGGGGCGACCUCAGGUUGGGGGACUAAGUCCUGCAGGGGACACUUGUUCAUCCACUACCAGGGACACCCAUCUCUCCCAACUCAAGACUUCUUUUUACUCCCCAAGUUUAAAACUCUGAGGCCACCCCGCCCCCUUCCCUCUCCCUCGCUUAGAAUCAGGACUUCUGUAGACAAGACAGAUACUGUAAAGACAGCAAAGAACAAACAGAAUGGCAGAUUGCUAAUGUUUGAUCCAAACGAAAAAGUGAUGAUUGAAUCAAACGAAGCAAUGUCAGAGAAGGAAGUCCCUUCUAAGAAUAUUGCAAAUAAAGUCUCUUUACAGACUACUGAAAAUAGAGUAUCUUCAAGGAGUAUCGAAAGUAAAGAUAUCUUAACAAAUCUACAGUCUGACCUAUUGUCAUCUUCCUGCUUAAAAGAAAGCACAGGUAAU